AAUCAACGCUGGCGGCGUGCCUAACACAUGCAAGUCGAACGCGAAAGGGGCUUCGGCCCUGAGUAGAGUGGCGUCCGGGUGGGUAACGCGUGGGUAAUCUACCCUCGGGUGGGGAAGUAACCAAUACGAAAGAUUGGCUAAUACCGCAUAAUGCAGCGGCUCGACAUCGAGACAGUUGUUAAAGCAGCAAUGCGCCAGAGGAGGAGCCUGCGUCUGAUUAGCGUUGGCGGGGUAACGGCCCACCAAGGCUACGAUCAGUAGCUGGUCUGAGAGGACGGCCAGCCACAAUGGCACUGAAACACGGGCCGAUACUCCUAC
rnacentral:rRNA from 1 species